GCCAAGUGUGGUGGUGCACACCUGUAAUCCCAAUGAUUUGGAGGCUGAGGCAGGAGGAUCACUAGUUCAAGGUCAAACUCGGCAACUUAGUGAAAGACCCUAUCUCAA
rnacentral:sRNA from 1 species